AGUCUAUUGACUCAAUUGGUUAGAGCAUUAUGUUAUUAGCAUGAAGAUUAUAGCCUUUGUAGGUUCAAGUCCUACAUAGGCUA
rnacentral:tRNA from 1 species